rnacentral:rRNA from 1 species
CCCUUAGAUGUCCGGGGCUGCACGCGCGCUACACUGACUGGCUCAGCGUGUGCCUACCCUACGCCGGCAGGCGCGGGUAACCCGUUGAACCCCAUUCGUGAUGGGGAUCGGGGAUUGCAAUUAUUCCCCAUGAACGAGGAAUUCCCAGUAAGUGCGGGUCAUAAGCUUGCGUUGAUUAAGUCCCUGCCCUUUGUACACACCGCCCGUCGCUACUACCGAUUGAAUGGUUUAGUGAGAUCUUCGGAUUGGCGCCACUGCGGCUCAGCAAUGGGCUCGGUGGAUGCCGAAAAGUUGAUCAAACUUGAUCAUUUAGAGGAAGUAAAAGUCGUAACA